UUAUAAGCCAACGAGCAUGUGUUGUCUUUAAUAUUUUCAAUGGCUGCUCCAAGAAGCCUAGCACGAGCUUCUUGAUCGACAAUAGUUUCAUUCCGCAAGUACUCAUCCAUUUCAGGCACGCCAAUUGCUCGACGAAUUCCCUGAAGUGACACAUCCACCCAGAGAAAACAACAUUCAUACCUCAACCGGAAUUCAGGGUCUUCGUUCACCAAGGCUUCGAUGUAAGAAUUGGAGCCACCGGCAAUGAUUGGCAAUCGCCCCCGACCCAAGAUGGAUUCAACUGCAAGUGACGCAUGGGACCGGAAAUCAGUGGCUGUGAAGUUCGAAUUUUGGUCUAUUGUGCUAAUUAAAUGGUGAGGUCGAUAGCGAGUCUUGACUUGCCUGUGCCGGUUGCUCCAAUUACAAAUACGACCUUAUCUUUCCGAUGAAAGAAGGAUUCCAGGUUGAGUCCUCCUUGGAAGUUCACUAGAGGCUGUACUUGCUUAUAGGUAGUGGACAGGGAAAGCCUCAUCUUUGUACCUGCUUACGGGUUGACCCAAGAAAGAGAGUACCUUAAAUAUUAUAAAAAUGCGGCUACUGGUGGAGGAGAAUGUCCGUACAACCUCUGUUUUUGCAGGGAAGAAAGGGAGAGAUACAGAGAAAGACUGAGGUUUAGAAGGAAAAAGUUUCAAGAAAUGAAGAAAGUCGGAGAUGGGCUUUGCUUGCAAAGGUAUAUGCAAAGCUAGUUUUUAUCUUUUUAUUUUGAGAACCGCACAAGCUAUAUAUAUAGAGAAAUCUAUGUCUUUUCUUUGUAGAAAGUAUUACAGUUGAGAAGGAAUCAAGUAUGGGAGAAGCACCAGCUACAUUUGUGAAGAAGAUAGAUUUUAUACGGGGUAGUGAGGGAAUGAUUAUGACAUGAUCACUUAGAUGUUUACUCUAAACCUCUUGUAAAUGAGGGUGGAGAUACUAAAUAGGGAGGGCUGUUCUCAAUCCUUUCACUAAGAUACUUGGCUUAAGCUCACUGGUUUAGCGAACAAGAUAUGUGCCUUGUGCCUGAAUACUGUUGCAGCAGGAGUUGCCUGUGAUCUGGCGAUGUCAUACUGACCUAUAAGGUCAGUCUAGGGUUAGGUCAAAUUUCAAAGGGCUUGGCUUUUGGUUCUUAAUUAAGAAUAUCUUGGCACUACCUUGAGUUCCAUGCUUUCUUGGUUCGAUUUAGAUAUCAAUAACAAAGACAAACUUUUGUGCUACAUUUCUUAAUCAUAAAUCUAAUACAAAUUGAACUAUUUUAUUAAAUCUUGUAGGAGCUAGUUACGGGAAUGCCUUUAUUAAGUCAAAACAAAUAGUUUAUUGCCUAUAGAUUCUGCUCAAAGCAAAUAAUUUUAUGAGCAGGUUGCUUUCAAGAAAUGAAUGGUCACAUCCUUUUUAGUGGGUUUGAUACCUAAAAAAUAAUAUUUUUAUGUAGUGAAAGGACUUAAGCUUAUAUUCGGUGCUGGUUGGGAAUAUAAUUCCCAUUUGGAGCCUCAUGUUUAUAGAUAAUCUACUCUGGUUCUGCUCUACAAUUCUAUUGGUGGCUGCCAGUAAGAAAUUAUAAGUACAUAGUAUUUUAACUCUUUCUUGUUUAGUAGAGUAUCUCAAUGUUUUUCUUCUAGAAAAAAGAAGGAAAAAAACACUUGGCAUGCAUGUCAAAGGAGCACUUUUUUUUGCAGAAUAUUCUUAAAAAAUGAGAUAGCAUUUUAUAAUAUUUAAGAAAGGUGAUCCCAGUAUAGAGUAAUCAUUUUUCUCAUUCUAUCAUUUAAGCAAAGGCCAUCAGUGAAAACUACAGAAGGAUUUCCAUGAAUAGAAACUUUGGGAAUCAUACAGCCAUGAGAAGUAAAAGGGUAGAUAUCAUUUAAAACUAGGGAGAUGGGUAGGGAUCUUUAUUGAGAAUCUAAAGAUAAGUUAGAAAUAGUAAUGAAUAUGACAAAUCUGAUGGUUCUUCUCUUUUCGGCGAGCGGUAUUUAUUCCAGAAACUGACAUGGUCUCACUACUUCAACCAAACUGUUUAGGUUUGCUAUAUGUUAAAACAAUCAAUGUGAUACCUGGAAGUGACAAGUUCAAUAUUAUAUGCUUGAGAUUGUGAUUUUAUCAAUUGGGUUUGGGGAAGUAAAGUUUGGGUUUUCUGUCUAGAAUGAUAUAUUGCAUAAGAAAUUGUGUUUCUUUGGUUUACCUUUUUUUCUCGGAGGAAUUUUUCCCGGUUGUAUGGCUUGUGAAUUUAAUGAAUUUAUUUGGAAACGAAUGGAAUGUAGCUUUAAGUACUAGUUACUGCUGCAUCUUCAUGUUCAAGUUCUGAUUACUGUGCAAGUGAGGCGUUGAUUGAACGGCAAUCAUGUUGCAUGUUAGGGACCGACUCACCUGUUAGGGCGUGGAUUCGAGUCCUACCCCCUCUCCAAACCCAUGUUUCAAAAAAAAAAUUCUGAUUACUGUUGCUUCAUCAUAGGAUGUUGGGAUUUUGUUCUGUCCAGGCUUCAAUGCUUUGAUGUUAUGAGGAUUUAUAUGAUAAUAUAAGGAUAUAUGUGUCUGUACUAGAAUUUACAUAUUCACAAAGAACUGACAGCAUUUUUCAAGAUUACUAAUCUGUAAUUCUAUUUCUGUAUGUACUUGUGGGCUUGUAGGCAUUGGGCUGGGUCCUGUUAAGGGUACGGCUAACCUGGAAUCUGAUAAUCUUUAACAGGGUUAUCGGUGGGGUGAAUUUCCUCAUAGAAAACACCAUGGUCGGGCCAGACCUCAACCGAUAGACAUUAGAUAAAUUGAAAAAAAAGAAAAGAAAAGAAAAGAAAAGAAGAAGAGUCCAAAUAAACUUAUCAUGUGCAAAGGUGCCUUUGACAUAUCUGAUGAUUCUUAUGGCCGCAUGCCCGCAUGCAUAUGAAUGUCUGUAGGUUGCUGCAUAAAUUGACUCAAUUAUUUACUGCAUAACUAAUAUCAGAUCUUUCGAUUGUAAGAUACAUUAAUCUUCCGAUCAAUCUCCUGUACUGAGCUAGUUCUUCUAAGGGUGUUCCUUGUUGUGAAUGUAAUUUUACAUUGGUGUCUAUUGGUGAAUUAUUGUGGUUCACAUUUAUGAGAUUUGCAUCCUUAAGUAAAUCCAGAGCAUAUUUUCUGUGGCAUAUACUUAAACCUAUGUCUUUGUGGUGAACCUCUAGCCCUAUAAAAUAUUUUAGGGAACCCAAAUCCUUGAUCUUAAAACAAGACCUAUGUAACUUUUAACCUUAUUUAUUAGUUCAAUGUCAUUCCCUCCUAUGGCCAUGUCAUCUAGAAAGAGUAAUAAAAUUAUUAUGUUGUUUUUGUUGUUGAAGUAAAACAUGGAAUAAUUUGCUUUACUUUGAGUGAUUCCAAACUCAAUUAAAGCUUUUCUACACUUUUCAUUCCAUUGUCUUGAAGCUUGUUUCAAGCCAUAAAUGGAUCUUUUUAUUUUGCAAACUUGAUUUUUGUUUUGAGUUUCAUACCUUGAGGAAGUUUCAUGUAAAAUUCCUCCUCUAACUCACCAUUGAGAAAGACAUUAUGAACAUUUAAAUGAUGUAUUUGUCAUUUGUUCUUCUGAUAUUCUCAUCAUUAGUUCGUAUUAUUUAAUUUUGCUCUUAUGAGGUUAGACAAGUAUCUUGAAAAUUGACUAAAGUUUCCCUAAAGAAAUUUUUUCCAGAAGCUCACUGGGGGCCCCAGCCCCCCUAGUGAUUCUAUACCAGCUCCGCCUCUACCAGAUGGGUGCAUUGUUGUUACCCGCGAAGGAGUACGAGAUUGUGGUGGUUGGGUUGGAUAACACGGGCAAGACCACGACGCUUUACAAAUACGAAUUGCGCUUAGGAGAGGUUGUCACUACUCACCCUACUGUUGGAAGCAAUGUUGGAGGAACUUGUCUACAAGAACAUUCAAUUCGAGGUGCGGUGAAAACUCUGAACAUUCCUCUAUUUUCUUUUUGCUUGGUGUUUUCUUGUUGAAGGUUAGUACCUUCUGUAUAUGGAAUUUUUUUGGGGGCAUUUUGUCUUAUUCGGUUUUUGAACUUUUUAGCUAUUGAAUGAGGUUUAUUUAUUUAUUUA